CUGCUGCGAGCGGAUCAAUGGCGUGUCAAGCAAUCAAAGUGUGCAUUUGGCCAACAACAAAUAGCAUAUCUGGGCCAUGUGAUUAACGCAUCCGGUGUCUCCACCGACCCUAGAAAGAUUGAGACAAUCAAGAACUGGCCGAAACCUCUGAAUGUGAAGGAAGUACGCAACUUCUUGGGAUUAGCAGGGUAUUACCAAGUUUGUCAAGCAUUUCAGGAUCAUCGCCCGACCACUAUUCAAUCUACUCAAGAUCGGCACCCGUUUGUCUGGACCGAUGACACACAAAAAGCAUUUGACUUACUCAAGCACGGCCUAGUCUCAGCUCCAGUGUUGCAACUUCCUGAUUUCUCCAAGACCUUUGUGAUAGACACAGAUGCAUGCGAUUAUGGAGUGGGCGUAGUUCUGCAACAAGGGCGCCAUCUGAUUGCAUACAUGAGUAAACCACUGGGUCCCAAGAACCAUGGCCUGUCCACCUACGAAAAAGAAUGCCUCGCUAUCUUGAUGGCCAUUGAACAGUGGCGUCCAUAUUUGCACACCGAUGAGUUCCUUAUCAGAACUGACCAAUGCAGCCUAGUUCACCUUGAUGAUCAACGGUUAUCAACUGUUUGGCAACAGAAGGUCUUUACCAAGCUAUUGGGGCUGCGUUACAAGAUUUUCUAUAGGCAAGGUGCCACCAACAGUGCAGCAGAUGCUCUAUCUCGUCGUGUACAUUUGAUAGAGCAACUAACAACAGUUUCUGUGUGUCAACCAACAUGGAUUGAAGAUAUCCGCGCAAGCUAUGUCAACAAUGAGCAGGUUCAAAGGAUACGAGAACAACUGCGCCAACGUCCUGACCCCAAAGGUCGCUUCACUUGGUCA
rnacentral:rRNA from 1 species